UCAAAUUAGAGGUACACUGCUUUUUAAUCACAAUCCAAACAAAGAUGCCACACACACGUUGCAUGAGCAGUUGUUUUUCAUUUGAAUUAGAUUCAAUUUCAAGAUUUAAAGCAAAAACUGAACGGUCUGACUUUUCAUCUUUGAGAAAUUAUGCUACACACACACACACACACACACACACACACACACACACACACACACACACACACACACACACACACACACACACACAAAAAGCUCGAAACAAAAACAGCAGGCUGAAUGAGACGCAGAUUCACUGACACUCUGACAGCAGGUGGCGCUUAUGGAACAGCAGUGAUACAGCGUUUCCUUGGUUACCGCUGUAAACAAAGCUGAACUGCGCUACUUUAUUCUGAGGUAAGAGGAAAAACAAAAUGCCUUUGCCAUCGAAAUUCCUUUUAGAGAUGAAUUCAUAUAACCCCUCACCCCCAAUUCAAUAUUUAUAUUUUCUUCCUAUAUUUCGAGCAUCGUGAACAGUGAGCUGCUCUGCCUGCUACAGAAUUUUCUCCUCUUCGCGUCCGUCUUCAGCGUCUCUGGCCUCUUGUUAACGGCCGUUUACAGACUCGGACAUGAGAUGAAUUGUCAUUCCCAUGAGGAGUUGGACAGAUGUGGGGCCAGAUGAAUCUGUGGAAAACAUGGCUUCAACAUUCACGAGAGACCCCCGGGUCACACCAGGAAGCAAAUGGUGCAAAACAGGGGAUAGAGUUGACCUUGUGUGCUUCGGAUGACAUGGUCAACUCUGGGUUGAUGUGAGAAACGCACCACGAGGAAAUGGAAUGAGGAUUUCCGAACAUGACUCUAGGAAAGAGUUGAAGUAUAUGAAGACAAUCUGUGAGAUCUCAUCCUCGCCAGGGUUGACGAAGAACAGCAUGUAUGUGAUGCCUAGCAGGGGCAGAAGAACCAGUGUGGCCUUCACCGCUUUCCUGUGAG